GUGUGCAUCAUUGUGUCUAGUUUCUAUGCAGACUGUAGAGAUGGAACUCAGGUCCUCACACUUGGAGAGCACACCCGCUAAACCAUCUUGCCUAACCGAUGUUAAAACUCCCUAAAGCUCGGAGGCCAGCACACGCUGAUCCCCAGAUCUAGACCAUACUUCUGCUUUUCCAGGACGGAUGUACCAGGAAGCAGAAUCCACAAACAUCCCUGCCUCUGCAGAUCUUGCAUCUUAACUGGAGCUGGAGUUGGGGAGAUGGGGGGGAAAAAAAGCAUGCUGUAAGGCCUCAUCAGCCAGGGAACGUGAGGCUGCCCUGUAGAUGAAGCUGUUUCCACCCAGCCUGGCCACCUGCCUGUGUGCACCUUGCCUCUCCUUUGCUGGUUGCGGCUGGAUGCCUCUCCUAGCUCCUCCCUGCUCCCCGCCCAGCUUCCUCUCACUGGAGUUGCUCCUGAGAAACUCCCUGUUGGCCUCAUCCCACCUGCUUCCUGAUGCUGGAAACUUGAUGGGAAGGAAGAAGGCUAAUUCCGCACGGAGCGGCGGCUUAUUCAAGUGAGCGCCACCAGGUCCUCUACUCGGGCUGGAAGCUGCCACCUGGCCACUCUACUCUCCCUUUUCACCCACAGAUCUCUUCUGUCCCCUCUGAAGUGUCUGCUCCACUUGAUUUCUUGGUGCCAAUCCCGCUCCACAGGUUGUGUGGACAUGAGUCUUCAUGUCCUUUAGCCAUCAUGGCUCCUGGGAAAGUCACUGGGAACACCCUUCAGACCAGCGGUCUCAACUGGUGGAGGUCGCAUAUCAGAUACCCUUCUUAUCAAAUAUUUGCAUUUUGAUUCGUAACAGUAGCAAAUGACAGUUGUGAAGGUAGCAAUGAAAUGAUUUUAUGGUUAGGGGUCACCACUCCAUGAGUAACUUUCUUAAAGGGCCACGGCACUCGGGAGGUUGAGACUACUGAGACUCUGGGAUUGAGACUGUUCCAUUCUUAGAUCGCCAACCCUGGUUACAGACCACGAGCUAGAAACCAAGCUGGCCGUUCCAUCUCUGCCAUUGCACCCUCCUGUCUAUGCAGAGCCAGCUCCUGGCAGCCUCUAAGCAUGUCACCUGGGUUCCCUCUCUGGACUUUGGUUCCAGCUAGAGGCUCUAGAAGACACACAGUAGCCUCCAGCACCCCCUCCCUCUUUGUAAUGUUAUUUCCCGCCUGUGAGGGGUUAUGAGGAUUAGCAAAGUCAACCACCACGAUCACUCUAGAAUGAUGGCUCCUCACACUGACUCCUUGAACGUGGAUAAUAACAGCAGAGCAGCAAAGGUCAGACACGACGCUGUGCCUCUGCGGCUGAGCCCGGCAGGCCUGGCAGCACAUUUCACUUCUCUGGGCAGUAGUACCUCCCGUCUGCUCGAUGUGGGGACUCAGGGUGCCAACAUUCCCCAGCCCGUCACCCAGGCUGAGUUCAGAAUUUGAAGCUCUUAACAGAGUACAGGCACUGGCAAGCGCUGCGAGUUGACUAGCCAGUUAGGAAUCAUCUUGUCUACCUGUGGCUAACUGUCAGGACCACAGGUUGGCUUCCAAGGUCACCCCAGCAAAUACUUACUACGGGAGAAAUGAACUCUUCCCUUGAGUUGCUUUUGUCAUAGCAACGGGAAAAGCAUAGGUACAGUAGAUGAGUGUGUGUGUUAAUGGGACAGAUAGGUGGUAGAUAGAUAGAUGGGAGGAUGGACAGGGAGAUGGAGGGCCAUUCUUAGCUUUCCUGAACAGCAGAACCUGGGAAGGGCAAUGGCAGGUGCUGACAGCUUUAGGAAAAAACUUUGAAGUGGUUCUGAGACUCUGCCCCAGGGCAUAUGAGCAGCAAAGCUGGCGAGAGAAUCUAACAUCUUUGUCUCCAAGAACCACCACGUUAGCCUCAAAAUGCAGCAGCAGCUUCUGCAGCAGAGAAGCCCAGUCCUUGGCUUAGCAGGCAUGUCUGCCCACCGCUGUUCUCUGUUGCCUGCCCAGUGGGUCGGCAGGGGCUAGGGCUCAUGCCUGUUGCGUGUGCCCCGUACCCUGCCACAGGCCUGGGAACAGAUGCCGCUCAGUCAUACUGACUGGCUGAGAUGCAGAAUCAGCCAGGUGGCAGCGCUCUGUGAGGCUCUGAAAUUGGGUCACCAGCAAGUUAUCUCUCCAAGAUUCCCAGCAAAGCCUCCUACCACAUGCCUAAGAAUUACAGCACCAGAAAAAGAAAAGAGGGGAAAAAAUUCUCAUUAGCUAUCCUUGCUGUCCCAGCUUUCAGCAAAAACCUAGGGCAUAAAAGUGAGCCUUCCACAUGAGCCCAAACGAUUCACAGAUUCCAAAUAGCAAGAAAGGCUAGGAACAGGACACAUGCAAUAAAUUAAAGAAAGAAAGAAAAAAAAAGAAAGAAGGGGAAAAAAAAGACAAAGAAGAUUAAUUGCCUAUGGAAAUAAAAGAUAAUCGGAGUGCCGUGAUCGUAUGCACCAGUGGGAAAGGGUUUUCAGAAAUGCCACAUUAGUGCCUCAGAGAGCAGGGACGAGGCUCCCACUGUGACAUCAAAGUGCUGGAUCAUGUGGCCAGUAACUGGGAUGCUGGGGAAGGUCUAAUAAUAGCCCUGUUCUUGCUGCCUUUGCAUAUUUGAGCACCAAGGAGUGCCCUGGGGAGGCUGGCACACAGCCAGGGACUCUCACGGUAGGGCUAUUGUGCUUACAGGGCUCUUUAGCUGCUGGGGAGGACCCGUGGGCCUGGGGACAAGGGGUUGGUCAGGAUGCUGGCCUCCAGACAGAGGGAGAGAAAGCUAAGGGCAAAGAACACACUCCUAGCCUUCUCCCAGCCCUCUUGGGUCUCUGGGCCAGGCCCCGCCCUGCUCUUCUGCUGGGCCUGGCAGCCAGCUCUCCAAAGAGCAAAGAGGACAGGAAGCAGCAGCAGGUCUGCAGCUGGGUGCAGAAAUGGGCCCCAGGAGGUCUGGAGUAGGAGGAAAUUUGUUUUGGAUGUGGGACCCAGAUUGGGGGUGGGGGAAAGAUAAGAAGAUACUCUGAUCUAACUGGAAAGGAGCUGUCCUGAGCUGAAAGCCCGGAACUUCCCUCAUCUUGGCUGCCAAAGCUGCCUCUGCUUCCUCAGCAAGCCGGCCGCAGGACAGGACACCAACGUGCCUUUCAGGCCAGCAGUCCAGGAAUGCCAGGACGCAAUCAAUAGACCUGCGGCCUGUCCCUGCCUGUCCAGUUUGGCAGCAGGGAGCCAAAUGCGGCCACUGAACCCUUGAAAUGCAGCCUGUCCAACUUAAGACACACCACAGAUUUCAAAGAGCUAAGAUGGAUAAAAAGAACACAGUGUCUCAUCAGCAACUGUCAUAGCGAUUACAUGUUGGGGUGACAAUAUUUGCAUAUGUGGAGUUAAAAAGAAGAUACUAAAAAUGUAUUCCACCAUUCCUUUGUACUUUUCUCCGUAUGGUCAUUAAAAACUAAACAUUGCGAACGUGGGCCACUCUGUUUCUAUUGGUGGCCCCGGUUCCUAACCUGAUUUAGCAUCUUCACCUCCAAGCUGCUAUGAUACCAUCCAAUUCAGCAAGAGU